AUUGAACGCUGGCGGCAGGCCUAACACAUGCAAGUCGAGCGAGCGGCGGACGGGUGAGGAAUGUAUGGGGAUCUGCCCGAUAGAGGGGGAUAACUACUGGAAACGGUGGCUACUACCGCAUACUAUCGGAUGAACCCAUAUUGGAUUAGCUAGUAGGUGGGGUAAAGGCUCACCUAGGCGACGAUCUCUAGCUGGUCUGAGAGGAUGAUCAGCCACACUGGGACUGAGACACGGCCCAGACUCCUACGGGAGGCAGCAGUAGGGAAUAUUGCACAAUGGGCGAAAGCCUGAUGCAGCCAUGCCGCGUGUAUGAAGAAGGCUGUCGGGUCGUAAAGCACUUUCAUCGGGGAGGCGUUACCUGCCGAAGAAACACCGGCUAACUCCGUGCCAGCAGCCGCGGUAAUAC
rnacentral:rRNA from 1 species